GGAGCGGUAGUUCAGUCGGUUAGAAUACCGGCCUGUCACGCCGGGGGGCGCGGGUUCGAGUCCCGUCCGCUCCGCCA
rnacentral:tRNA from 14 species